AUUGAACGCUGGCGGCAGGCUUAACACAUGCAAGUCGAGCGGAGUGAUGGUGCUUGCACUAUCACUUAGCGGCGGACGGGUGAGUAAUGCUUAGGAAUCUGCCUAUUAGUGGGGGACAACAUCUCGAAAGGGAUGCUAAUACCGCAUACGUCCCACGGGAGAAAGCAGGGGAUCACUUGUGACCUUGCGCUAAUAGAUGAGCCUAAGUCGGAUUAGCUAGUUGGUGGGGUAAAGGCCUACCAAGGCGACGAUCUGUAGCGGGUCUGAGAGGAUGAUCCGCCACACUGGGACUGAUACAAGGCCCAGGAUCCUACGGGAGGCAGCAGUGGGGAAUAUUGGACAAUGGGGGGAACCCUGAUCCAGCCAUGCCGGGUGUGUGAAGAAGGCCUUAUGGUUGUAAAGCACUUUAAGCGGGGAGGAGGCUUACCUAGUUAAUACCUGGGAUAAGUGGACGUUACUCGCAGAAUAAGCACCGGCUAACUCUGUGCCAGCCGCCGCGGUAACAC
rnacentral:rRNA from 1 species